AUGCGCUGCUCUCCCGCUGGUACGCUGCUGCGCCAUGCCCUCGACACGCCGUCGACAAAUGCGGCGGAGGGAUUGUUAAUGGAGUACGAGAAGGAGGUGGCGGAGAAGGUGUGGAGAGGCAGGAGGUCUGGGGCGGUGUCACCUGGCUGUGAUGGAGGUGUUUAUGCGAGAAGGAGCCGGAGUGGAAGGAGAGGUCACAAUUAA
rnacentral:rRNA from 1 species